CUAGAGUUACUAAGCUCCCUUGAAAUAGCGAGCUCUCAGGCCUCCGAUAUAUUUUUUCAUUGUUGCCCCUCUGUCCCAUGGAUCCGUUUUGUCAGGUCGGUUCAUUUUCACCGGUGACAAAUGAGUUGAGUUUCUCCAUGAGGUCAUCUUCCUCAACCAGACCCACGAAUUCCAUCCAUAUCUUGCGCCGCCGCCGCCUCUCUCCUCUGCCUCGCCGUACCUUCCACGCGGAUUUGUGUGAUCUCCGGGCGCGGUACUCAGCCUGUGGGCGGCUCCCCGCGGCAGGGAGGCGCGGCACCUCAUGCCGCCCAUGUUCCUCUCUCGCUCUCACCAUCACGCCACCGAUCCCCUCCCCUCCUCCACCCAGCGGAUGCUCCGACCUCUCUUCUCCUCCUCAUGGAUGCGUUCCCUCACCUCUCGCGGCGCCUCCUUGGCUCAUCCGCUGGGCGAACUCCAUAACCCUCUCGGCCCUUCCUUCUCUUGCCCCCUUGGCGCGCACCAAACUCCCAUGUGCUUCCCCUAGCGGACCACAUCAGAUUCACCUGAACUUUGAUCGUUGUUUUUCUUUUCUUUUCAUGGCUUUCUUGAUCUUUGCUACUUGGUGUUGAGCAUGGACGGUCAGCACAACAGUAUGGAGAUCCAAACCUUUACUUUAUGUCUGAACUGUUCAUGGCUCAAGUCACAUAGGAAAGGUCAUACCGGUUUUGAGUUCUCUCCUGUGAAAUGUUUUUGGAUCAAGAUGGUUUUAGACUUUCAGGAGGAAUUCGUAUGUAGGUUUAUAUUCCCUUGUGGAUGAAAAGGGUGAUGGAGUACACUGUCUUGUGCCCAAAGGCUUACUUUCCAAAAUUCAGCAGCUGACGUCUGAAGGUCGUGUAUGUUAUCUACAGUUCUUUCAGACUAGCCCCGCGAAAAGGCAGGCUUGAGAUAUUUCAGGUCAAGAUUCAACUGGUCGAUUCUGGGUACAGAAUUCUUGAGGUUGAUCAGUAUGUUGAAUGCAUUGCUGAAUGAGGACGUCGAUUUGAGACGGACAAGGAAUCUACUAUGCACCGCACAACUAUGUCUCGGCACAACAGAUACCGCCUCCAACAAGCAAGAGCGAAGCCAACGGAAGGAAACACCACCAAACGCAACUUAAAUAAAACACAACGCAAUGGAAUUGAAACCAUGGUGAACCAACUGACCAUGAUAAUCCACGAAGAAAAAAGGGAAGUUGAACCCAGAAUCUAAAAACGGCACGGCAAAGCGCGCGUCACCUUCUAGUGCAAUCUAUGCUUGGUGGAAUGUACUCUAAUUCGGCACUCACAAAUAUUCGCCUCCAGGCCACCAUUAGUCUUUUCUUUCGCACGUAGUUGGCAUGUCGUUCCUUUUUUUCAUAGUUUAACCGCACUAAAACCGGUUCUGUAAUCAUAAUUCUACUUUUCGAAAUAGAAAGACAACGCUUAUGCUA